rnacentral:rRNA from 1 species
GUGGGGAAUCUUAGACAAUGGGCGCAAGCCUGAUCUAGCCAUGCCGCGUGAGCGAUGAAGGCCUUAGGGUUGUAAAGCUCUUUCGUGGGGGAAGAUAAUGACUGUACCCCAAGAAGAAGCCCCGGCUAACUCCGUGCCAGCAGCCGCGGUAAUACGGAGGGGGCUAGCGUUGUUCGGAAUUACUGGGCGUAAAGCGCACGUAGGCGGACUGGAAAGUCAGGGGUGAAAUCCCGGGGCUCAACCCCGGAACUGCCUUUGAUACUGGGUGUCUUAGGUGUGAGAGAGGUGAGUGGAAUUCCGAGUGUAGAGGUGAAAUUCGUAGAUAUUCGGAGGAACACCAGUGGCGAAGGCGGCUCACUGGCUCGAUACUGACGCUGAGGUGCGAAAGCGUGGGGAGCAAACAGGAUUAGAAACCCCUGUAGUCC